UGGGAUUUAAUUGCACUAAAAGAUUCCGAAAGGGAAACCUAAUACAAGUUUGAUUAUCUUACACUUCAUAAAAUCUCUUGAUUUACACAAAUGCUUUGAAAUUUUUGUGUAUGUGCGUCUUGUGUUGAUUUCGUUUCGUUAUUUGUUGAUCCAAAAAUGUCUGCCUGAUUUUAUUCAAUUUGUAUUAAAUAGUUUUGGAAAUAUUCGUGAAAUAAUGCAAAUAAUGUAAACAAUGUAAAGCAUGUCAAAAUUGAAAUAAAUGAUUUCAGUUACAGAAAUACUUUUUUUGAUAUCAGUUUCGGAAAUACUUCUUAGAUUUCAGUUGCAGAAAUACUUCUUUGAUUUCAGUUUCGGAAAUACUUCUUUGAUUUCAGUUUCGGAAAUACUUUUUUGAUUUCCGUUUCGGAAAUACUUUUUUCAGUGUCAUUUUCUGCACUUGCUAUAUUUUCCAGCUAACUGAGAAACUAUUAAAUGGCAAAUGCAUUCUUACAGUCCACCGUACGGUAAUUCCGGCGAUAAUGACGGCGCCACAAACGAUGGCGUCGUACAAACUUUGAGAGACGUCUGCAAAUCUCGGAAAAGCUCAGGAAAAUCUGGAAAGUCCCAAUGAUCCAUCCGUAAUGACGUGCUCGUAAAUCAAGGUGUUUUCAAUGAAUCACAACACGGAAAAAAAAACCAAGCCAGAUCACCAACGAAAUGUCCAUAUGGUUAUUGUUUAAAUAUUGUUUAGUUUUCAACGAUUCAGUAAUAUAGAUGAAUGAACAAGA